rnacentral:rRNA from 1 species
UACGUAGGUGGCAAGCGUUGUCCGGAAUUAUUGGGCGUAAAGCGCGCGCAGGCGGUCCUUUAAGUCUGAUGUGAAAGCCCACGGCUCAACCGUGGAGGGUCAUUGGAAACUGGGGGACUUGAGUGCAGAAGAGGAAAGCGGAAUUCCACGUGUAGCGGUGAAAUGCGUAGAGAUGUGGAGGAAGACCGGUGGCGAAGGCGGCCUGCUGGGCAGUUUCUGACACUGAUGCGCGACAGCGUGGGGAGCAAACAGG